rnacentral:rRNA from 1 species
CCGGCGAACGGGUGCGUAACACGUGAACAACCUGCCCUCGUGUGGGGGAUAGCCAUGCUAACGCGUGGGUAAUACCGCAUACGUUCCCUUGGAGGAGUCUCUGGGGGGAGGGAAAGCUCCGGCGCACGGGGAGGGGUUCGCGGCCUAUCAGCUAGUUGGCGGGGUAAUGGCCCACCAAGGCGACGACGGGUAGCUGGUCUGAGAGGAUGGCCAGCCACAUUGGGACUGAGAGACGGCCCAG